GCGUGUACACAUACUCCAGGCGGGCCGGGGCGCGUCAAUAUGGCGGCGCAGGGCUCCCCCUCGAGCUCUCCGUCAGACGACUCUACCACCUCGGGGUCGUGGCCAGAACUGCCGCCGACCUCCACCGCGACUUCGAGGUCGCCCCCAGAGUCGAAGGGGAGCUCCCGGAGCUCGCUGCUUCAGUGGACCUGCCCCGAGGACUCAUUGCCCCUAGCCGUGUUUUAUGGGCCGCUGGACGCGAAAAACCCGCUCCUGGCCUCUUGUGAGAAGGAGAUCCAGGAGUUGUUAGGCUUUAUGAGGAAAAAGAAGGCUUUAGCCACCACGGAGGAAGAGAAGCACGAAUUCCGCCGGCGUUGUGCCACUUCUUUGUUUAAUAUCUGGACUAAAUACGCCCCCAGGCUGCCAGCAGACUAUUACAACGAAAAGCUUCUGAAGGUUGGAGAUAGCCUUUGUCAAAUGAAAGUAAGUGCCUCUGCAGGAAAGAGCCAAAAAGAAGUUCAUUUGGCUAAUUAUUAUUACAGUAUUUAGUCUGAUACCCUUCCUAUUUUACAUGUUUUGAUUUUUCUCUUAGAAAAAAAUAAAUGAGUACAUAAAAAUUUUAAUAAGGCACAGUAACCAAAAAAGUGUUGCUUUUUAAUUUUGUAGUUGAGAUUUCCCAGAGGUGAGACAUUCCUGGACAGCCAGGCAGCUGGCUGUGGAUGGGCAGGAGGGUGGCCGGGUUAAC
rnacentral:sRNA from 1 species